rnacentral:rRNA from 1 species
GGGUUGUGAGGUUAAGCGACUAAGCGUACACGGUGGAUGCCCUGGCAGUCAGAGGCGAUGAAGGACGUGCUAAUCUGCGAUAAGCGCCGGUAAGGUGAUAUGAACCGUUAUAACCGGCGAUUUCCGAAUGGGGAAACCCAGUGUGACUCGUCACACUAUCAUUAACUGAAUCCAUAGGUUAAUGAGGCGAACCGGGGGAACUGAAACAUCUAAGUACCCCGAGGAAAAGAAAUCAACCGAGAUUCCCCCAGUAGCGGCGAGCGAACGGGGAGGAGCCCAGAGCCUGAAUCAGCAUGUGUGUUAGUGGAAGCGUCUGGAAAGGCGCGCGAUACAGGGUGACAGCCCCGUACACAAAAGCGCAUGUGCUGUGAGCUCGAUGAGUAGGGCGGGACACGUGGUAUCCUGUCUGAAUAUGGGGGGACCAUCCUCCAAGGCUAAAUACUCCUGACUGACCGAUAGUGAACCAGUACCGUGAGGGAAAGGCGAAAAGAACCCCGGCGAGGGGAGUGAAAAAGAACCUGAAACCGUGUACGUACAAGCAGUGGGAGCACCCUUUGGGGUGUGACUGCGUACCUUUUGUAUAAUGGGUCAGCGACUUAUAUUCUGUAGCAAGGUUAACCGAAUAGGGGAGCCGGAGGGAAACCGAGUCUUAAUUGGGCGUUAAGUUGCAGGGUAUAGACCCGAAACCCGGUGAUCUAGCCAUGGGCAGGUUGAAGGUUGGGUAACACUAACUGGAGGACCGAACCGACUAAUGUUGAAAAAUUAGCGGAUGACCUGUGGCUGGGGGUGAAAGGCCAAUCAAACCGGGAGAUAGCUGGUUCUCCCCGAAAGCUAUUUAGGUAGCGCCUCGUGAAUUCAUCUCCGGGGGUAGAGCACUGUUUCGGCUAGGGGGCCAUCCCGGCUUACCAACCCGAUGCAAACUGCGAAUACCGGAGAAUGUUAUCACGGGAGACACACGGCGGGUGCUAACGUCCGUCGUGAAGAGGGAAACAACCCAGACCGCCAGCUAAGGUCCCAAAGUCAUGGUUAAGUGGGAAACGAUGUGGGAAGGCCCAGACAGCCAGGAUGUUGGCUUAGAAGCAGCCAUCAUUUAAAGAAAGCGUAAUAGCUCACUGGUCGAGUCGGCCUGCGCGGAAGAUGUAACGGGGCUAAACCAUGCACCGAAGCUGCGGCAGCGACGCUGAUGCGUUGUUGGGUAGGGGAGCGUUCUGUAAGCCUGUGAAGGUGGCCUGUGAGGGUUGCUGGAGGUAUCAGAAGUGCGAAUGCUGACAUAAGUAACGAUAAAGCGGGUGAAAAGCCCGCUCGCCGGAAGACCAAGGGUUCCUGUCCAACGUUAAUCGGGGCAGGGUGAGUCGACCCCUAAGGCGAGGCCGAAAGGCGUAGUCGAUGGGAAACGGGUUAAUAUUCCCGUACUUGGUGUUACUGCGAAGGGGGGACGGAGAAGGCUAUGUUGGCCGGGCGACGGUUGUCCCGGUUUAAGCGUGUAGGCUGGUUUUCCAGGCAAAUCCGGAAAAUCAAGGCUGAGGCGUGACGACGAGGCACUACGGUGCUGAAGCAACAAAUGCCCUGCUUCCAGGAAAAGCCUCUAAGCAUCAGGUAACAUCAAAUCGUACCCCAAACCGACACAGGUGGUCAGGUAGAGAAUACCAAGGCGCUUGAGAGAACUCGGGUGAAGGAACUAGGCAAAAUGGUGCCGUAACUUCGGGAGAAGGCACGCUGACACGUAGGUGAAGUGAUUUACUCAUGGAGCUGAAGUCAGUCGAAGAUACCAGCUGGCUGCAACUGUUUAUUAAAAACACAGCACUGUGCAAACACGAAAGUGGACGUAUACGGUGUGACGCCUGCCCGGUGCCGGAAGGUUAAUUGAUGGGGUCAGCGCAAGCGAAGCUCCUGAUCGAAGCCCCGGUAAACGGCGGCCGUAACUAUAACGGUCCUAAGGUAGCGAAAUUCCUUGUCGGGUAAGUUCCGACCUGCACGAAUGGCGUAAUGAUGGCCAGGCUGUCUCCACCCGAGACUCAGUGAAAUUGAACUCGCUGUGAAGAUGCAGUGUACCCGCGGCAAGACGGAAAGACCCCGUGAACCUUUACUAUAGCUUGACACUGAACAUUGAGCCUUGAUGUGUAGGAUAGGUGGGAGGCUUUGAAGUGUGGACGCCAGUCUGCAUGGAGCCGGCCUUGAAAUACCACCCUUUAAUGUUUGAUGUUCUAACGUGGACCCGUGAUCCGGGUUGCGGACAGUGUCUGGUGGGUAGUUUGACUGGGGCGGUCUCCUCCUAAAGAGUAACGGAGGAGCACGAAGGUUGGCUAAUCCUGGUCGGACAUCAGGAGGUUAGUGCAAUGGCAUAAGCCAGCUUGACUGCGAGCGUGACGGCGCGAGCAGGUGCGAAAGCAGGUCAUAGUGAUCCGGUGGUUCUGAAUGGAAGGGCCAUCGCUCAACGGAUAAAAGGUACUCCGGGGAUAACAGGCUGAUACCGCCCAAGAGUUCAUAUCGACGGCGGUGUUUGGCACCUCGAUGUCGGCUCAUCACAUCCUGGGGCUGAAGUAGGUCCCAAGGGUAUGGCUGUUCGCCAUUUAAAGUGGUACGCGAGCUGGGUUUAGAACGUCGUGAGACAGUUCGGUCCCUAUCUGCCGUGGGCGCUGGAGAACUGAGGGGGGCUGCUCCUAGUACGAGAGGACCGGAGUGGACGCAUCACUGGUGUUCGGGUUGUCAUGCCAAUGGCACUGCCCGGUAGCUAAAUGCGGAAGAGAUAAGUGCUGAAAGCAUCUAAGCACGAAACUUGCCCCGAGAUGAGUUCUCCCUGAGACUUUAGGUCUCCUGAAGGAACGUUGAAGACGACGACGUUGAUAGGCCGGGUGUGUAAGCGCAGCGAUGCGUUGAGCUAACCGGUACUAAUGAACCGUGAGGCUUAACCUUACA